UACGGAGGGGGCUAGCGUUGUUCGGAAUUACUGGGCGUAAAGCGCGCGUAGGCGGCUUUGUAAGUUAGAGGUGAAAGCCCGGAGCUCAACUCCGGAAUUGCCUUUAAGACUGCAUCGCUAGAAUCAUGGAGAGGUUAGUGGAAUUCCGAGUGUAGAGGUGAAAUUCGUAGAUAUUCGGAAGAACACCAGUGGCGAAGGCGACUAACUGGACAUGUAUUGACGCUGAGGUGCGAAAGCGUGGGGAGCAAACAGGG
rnacentral:rRNA from 1 species